GAUGAACGCUGGCGGCGUGCUUAACACAUGCAAGUCGAACGGAAAGGCCGAAGCUUGCUUCGGUACUCGAGUGGCGAACGGGUGAGUAACACGUGGGUGAUCUGCCCUGUACUUCGGGAUAAGCUUGGGAAACUGGGUCUAAUACCGGAUAUGACGAUCUCUUGGAUGGGGUUGUGGAAAGCUUUUGCGGUAUGGGAUGAGCUCGCGGCCUAUCAGCUUGUUGGUGGGGUAAUGGCCUACCAAGGCGUCGACGGGUAGCCGGCCUGAGAGGGUGUACGGCCAAUUUGGGAUUGAGAUACGGCCCAGACCCCUACGGGGGGCAGCAGGGGGGAAUUUUGCCAAAUGGGCACAAGCCUGAUGCAGCGCCCCCGCGUGGGGGAUGACGGCCUUCGGGUUGUAACCCCCUUUCGCAAUCGCCGAAGCCUUUUGGGGCCGGGGGGUUGAAAAGAAGCACCGGCUAACUCCGU
rnacentral:rRNA from 1 species